GACGAACGCUGGCGGCGUGCUUAACACAUGCAAGUCGAACGGAAAGGCUCCAGCUUGCUGGAGUACUCGAGUGGCGAACGGGUGAGUAACACGUGGGUAAUCUGCCCUGCACUCUGGGAUAAGCCUGGGAAACUGGGUCUAAUACGGGAUAUGACCUUUCUCCUUAUGGGGUUUGGUGGAAAGUUUUUCGGUGUAGGAUGAGCCCGCGGCCUAUCAGCUUGUUGGUGGGGUGAUGGCCUACCAAGGCGACGACGGGUAGCCGGCCUGAGAGGGUGAUCGGCCACAUUGGGACUGAGAUACGGCCCAGACUCCUACGGGAGGCAGCAGUGGGGAAUAUUGCACAAUGGGCGGAAGCCUGAUGCAGCGACGCCGCGUGAGGGAUGACGGCCUUCGGGUUGUAAUCCUCUUUCAGCAGGGACGAAGCGUAAGUGACGGUACCUGCAGAAGAAGCACCGGCUAACUAUGUG
rnacentral:rRNA from 1 species